CAUAUACUCCCCUCGGUCCCAUAUUAAUUGACGCAGAAAUGGAUGUAUCUAGACUGAAAUACGUCUAGAUACAUCUAUUUCCGCGUCAAUUAAUAUGGGAUGGAGGGAGUAUUUG
rfam:Triticum aestivum genome assembly, contig: Triticum_aestivum_CS42_TGACv1_scaffold_112793_2AS